UACGGGGGGAGCAAGCGUUGUUCGGAUUUACUGGGCGUAAAGGGCGCGUAGGCGGUCGUGACAAGUCACUUGUGAAAUCUCCGGGCUUAACUCGGAACGGUCAAGUGAUACUGUCGGACUAGAGUACAGAAGGGGCAACUGGAAUUCUCGGUGUAGCGGUGAAAUGCGUAGAUAUCGAAAGGAACACCUGCGGCGAAGGCGGGUUGCUGGGCUGAUACUGACGCUGAGGCGCGAAAGCCAGGGGAGCGAACGGG
rnacentral:rRNA from 1 species